AUCCUUGUAUAUUAAAUAAUGUAUCAGUUUCUCCUAUUAAUAUUGUUGGAAUAGGUUCAUCUAAGAACAUCAGUUUUAGAGGCCGUAACUCAUUUAAUCUAAAUUUUGAUAACUACACUAAGACUGGUGAUAUUACAUUGCAUUUCAAUAUAGAACAAUUUACUGGUGAACCCUCUGGGAAUAUAGCUGUUAUUAUACAGUGUAAUGAAACUGGUAUUGUACUAAUUGAGAAUGCUAAACAACUAAUAAAUAAAGCAGGAUCAAUAGCAGGAUCAGUAUCAAUACCAUUCAAUCAAAAGUGUAAUAUCAGUAUUGUAUCUAGUUGUAAGGAUGGCAGUAAAUUUAUACAGACGAUUGAUAUAACUAUUCCUCCUAUAAAAACUAGCUCAUCAUCACCAAGUGUCACACCAACUUUAGCACCAACUGCUUCACAAAGGACAUCAUUAUCAGGUAUAAUCUCUGGUGUUGUUGUUGGUUUUGUUGUACUGCUAGUCAUUGUAAUUGCUAUAAUAUGCUGUUUAAUCCUGAAAUAUAAGUUUUCAAAAAAGUAUGAUGGCAUAUGCAAAAAA